rnacentral:rRNA from 1 species
UACGUAGGUGGCAAGCGUUGUCCGGAUUUACUGGGCGUAAAGAGCGCGCAGGCGGUCGUGCAAGUCGCGUGUGAAAGCCCCCGGCUCAACUGGGGAGGGUCACGCGAUACUGUUCGACUCGAAGGCAGGAGAGGGAAGCGGAAUUCCCGGUGUAGUGGUGAAAUGCGUAGAUAUCGGGAGGAACACCAGUGGCGAAGGCGGCUUCCUGGCCUGUUCUUGACGCUGAGGCGCGAAAGCUAGGCUAGCAAACGGG